rnacentral:rRNA from 1 species
UACGAAGGGGGCUAGCGUUGCUCGGAAUUACUGGGCGUAAAGCGCACGUAGGCGCUCUUAAGAUCGGUGGCGAAAUCCUGAGCUCAACUCCAGAACUGCCUUCGAUACUGGGAAGCUCGAGUCCGGGGAGAGGUGAGUGGAACUGCGAGUGUAGAGGUGAAAUUCGUAGAUAUCGCAAGAACACCAGUGGCGAAGGGCGGCUCACUGGCCCGAUACUGACGCUGAGGCACGGAAAGCGUGG